CCUACGGGAGGCAGCAGUGGGGAAUAUUGCACAAUGGGGGAAACCCUGAUGCAGCGACGCCGCGUGAGCGAAGAAGUAUCUCGGUAUGGAAAGCUCUAUCAGCAGGGAAGAAAAUGACGGUACCUGCCUACCACCCCCCGGCUAAAUACGUGCCAGCAGCCGCGGGCAUACGUAUGGGGCCAGCGUUAGCCGGAUUUACUGGGUGUAACGGGAGCGCAGGCGGCUUGGCAAGUCUGAUGUGAAAGGCUGGGGCUCAACCCCAGGACUGCAUUGGAAACUGUUAGGCUGGAGUGGCGGAGAGGUAAGCGGAAUGCCUAGUGUAGCGGUGAAAUGCGUAGAUAUUAGGAGGAACACCAGUGGCGAAGGCGGCUUACUGGACGACAACUGACGCUGAGGCUCGAAAGCGUGGGGAGCAAACAGGAUUAGAUACCCCUGUAGUC
rnacentral:rRNA from 1 species